GAUCUGGUGGCACUAGCGAAGGGUGUACACCCGAUCCCAUUCCGAACUCGGACGUGAAAACUUUCAGCGCCGAUGGUACUGUGUCUUAAGGCACGGGAGAGUAGGUCGCUGCCAGAUCU
rnacentral:rRNA from 1 species